AGGGUUCGAUUCUGGCUCAGGAUGAACGCUAGCGGCAGGCUUAACACAUGCAAGUCGAGGGGCGAGCGGGAUGUAGCAAUACAUUGCCGGCGACCGGCGGAUGGGUGCGUAACGCGUAUGCAACCUACCUAUACAGGGGAAUAACCUUCGAAAGGGAGACUAACACCCAUGGUAUUGAUUUAAGGCAUCUUAGAUUAAUUAAAUAUUUAUAGGUAUAAGAUGGGCAUGCGUAUGAUUAGCUAGUUGGUAAGGUAACGGCUUACCAAGGCGACGAUCAUUAGGGGUUCUGAGAGGAAGGUCCCCCACACUGGUACUGAGACACGGACCAGACUCCUACGGGAGGCAGCAGUGAGGAAUAUUGGUCAAUGGGCGCAAGCCUGAACCAGCCAUGCCGCGUGCAAGGAAGACGGCCUUAUGGGUUGUAAACUGCUUUUACAUAAGACUAACCGUAUAUUUGCGAAUAUACCUGAAUGUAUUAUGAGAAUAAGGAUCGGCUAACUCCGUGCCAGCAGCCGC
rnacentral:rRNA from 1 species